rnacentral:rRNA from 1 species
AGAGCGCGGCGAAAUGCGAUAAGUAAUGUGAAUUGCAGAAUUCAGUGAAUCAUCGAAUCUUUGAACGCACAUUGCGCCCCCUGGUAUUCCGGGGGGCAUGCCUGUUCGAGCGUCAUUUCACCACUCAAGCCUCGCUUGGUAUUGGGCAACGCGGUCCGCCGCGUGCCUCAAAUCGUCCGGCUGGGUCUUCUGUCCCCUAAGCGUUGUGGAAACUAUUCGCUAAAGGGUGUUCGGGAGGCUACGCCGUAAAACAACCCCAUUUCUAAGGUUGACCUCGGAUCAGGUAGGGAUACCCGCUGAACUUAAGCAUAUCAAUAAGCGGAGGAAAAGAAACCAACAGGGAUUGCUCUAGUAACGGCGAGUGAAGCAGCAAUAGCUCAAAUUUGAAAUCUGGCGUCUUCGACGUCCGAGUUGUAAUUUGUAGAGGAUGCUUCUGAGUGGCCACCGACCUAAGUUCCUUGGAACAGGACGUCAUAGAGGGUGAGAAUCCCGUAUGCGGUCGGAAAGGCGCUCUAUACGUAGCUCCUUCGACGAGUCGAGUUGUUUGGGAAUGCAGCUCUAAAUGGGAGGUAAAUUUCUUCUAAAGCUAAAUAUUGGCCAGAGACCGAUAGCGCACAAGUAGAGUGAUCGAAAGAUGAAAAGCACUUUGGAAAGAGAGUUAAAAAGCACGUGAAAUUGUUAAAAGGGAAGGGAUUGCAACCAGACUUGCUCGCGGUGUUCCGCCGGUCUUCUGACCGGUCUACUCGCCGCGUUGCAGGCCAGCAUCGUCUGGUGCCGCUGGAUAAGACUUGAGGAAUGUAGCUCCCUCGGGAGUGUUAUAGCCUCUUGUGAUGCAGCGAGCGCCGGGCGAGGUCCGCGCUUCGGCUAGGGAUGCUGGCGUAAUGGUCGUAAUCCGCCCGUCUU